rnacentral:rRNA from 1 species
GACGAACGCUGGCGGCGUGCCUAAUACAUGCAAGUCGACCUUAGUUGCGAACGAGUGAGUUACACUUUGUUAACCUGCCCAUCAGAAGGGGAUAACACUUGGAAACAGCUGCUAAUACCGUAUACUGAUGGAUGGUCCCGCGGUGCAUUAGCUAGUUGGGGCGGUAACGGCUCACCAAGGCCACGAUGCAUAGCCGGCCGCAGAGGGGGAUCGGCCACAUUGGGAAUGAGACACGGCCCAAACUCCUACGGGAGGCAGCAGUCGGGAAUGUUCGGCAAUGGACGAAAGUCUGACCGAGCAACGCCGCGUGAGGGAAGAAGGUAUUCGGAUCGUAAAACACUGUUGUUGGAGAAGCGGUACCUAAACAGAAAGCAACGGCUAACUACGUGCCAGCAGCCGCGGUAAUUC